rnacentral:rRNA from 1 species
GCUAGCGGCAGGCUUCAUACAUGCAAGUCGAGGGGCAGCAUAAAUUACUUGUAAUUUGAUGGCGACCGGCGAACGGGUGCGUAACGCGUAUGCAACUUACCUUUUACUAGAGAAUAGCCAAGAGAAAUUUUGAUUAAUGCUCUAUACACUUAUUAAUUCUCAUGAAUCUAUAAGAAAAGCUCCGGCGGUAAAAGAUGGGCAUGCGUCCUAUUAGCUUGUAGGUGAGGUAACGGCUCACCUAAGCUCCGAUAGGUAGGGGUCCUGAGAGGGAGAUCCCCCACACUGGUACUGAGACACGGACCAGACUUCUACGGAAGGCAGCAGUAAGGAAUAUUGGACAAUGGAGGCAACUCUGAUCCAGCCAUGCCGCGUGAAGGAAGACAGCCUUAUGGGUUGUAAACUUCUUUUAUACAGGAAGAAACCUUUCCACGUGUGGAGAGCUGACGGUACUGUAAGAAUAAGGAUCGGCUAACUCCGUGCCAGCAGCCGCGGUAAUACGGAGGAUCCAAGCGUUAUCCGGAAUUAUUGGGUUUAAAGGGUCCGCAGGCUGUUUGUUAAGUCAGAGGUGAAAUCCUACCGCUCAACGGUAGAACUGCCUUUGAUACUGGCAAACUUGAGUUAUUGUGAAGUAGUUAGAAUGUGUAGUGUAGCGGUGAAAUGCAUAGAUAUUACACAGAAUACCGAUUGCGAAAGCAGAUUACUAACAAUAUACUGACGCUGAGGGACGAAAGCGUGGGUAGCGAACAGGAUUAGAUACCCUGGUAGUCCACGCCGUAAACGAUGGUCACUAGCUGUUUGAUGUACAUUGGUACAUUGAGUGGCUAAGCGAAAGUGAUAAGUGACCCACCUGGGGAGUACGCUCGCAA